GUGGAGGCUGAAGCGCCGCCAGCUGGGCUGAGAGUCGUGGUGUGCGUGGUGAGAGGUGGCGGCCGCUGGGGUGAGGUGCGAGGCGGAGCGCGCGACGACUGACUCUGGAGGAGCGAAUGUAAGUCGACAUACAGCAGAAAAUGUCCACUGAACGGACUUCUUGGACAAGCCUGUCCACUAUUCAGAAAAUAGCCCUGGGCCUCGGGAUCCCAGCCAGUGCAACAGUUGCCUAUAUCCUAUACCGAAGGUAUAGGGAAAGCAGAGAAGAGCGGCUGACGUUUGUUGGGGAGGAUGACAUCGAGAUAGAGAUGCGAGUUCCCCAGGAGGCUGUGAAGCUCAUCAUUGGCCGGCAAGGAGCCAAUAUUAAACAGCUGCGGAAACAGACAGGUGCUCGGAUUGAUGUGGACACAGAGGAUGUAGGCGAUGAGCGAGUACUGCUUAUCAGUGGUUUUCCUGUUCAGGUGUGCAAGGCCAAAGCAGCAAUUCAUCAGAUCCUGACAGAGAACACCCCAGUGUCUGAGCAACUCUCAGUUCCCCAGAGAUCUGUGGGCAGAAUCAUAGGGAGAGGCGGUGAGACAAUUCGUUCUAUCUGUAAGGCCUCUGGAGCCAAAAUUACCUGUGACAAGGAAUCAGAGGGGACGUUACUACUAUCAAGACUUAUAAAAAUCUCAGGAACACAGAAGGAAGUGGCAGCAGCCAAGCAUUUGAUACUGGAAAAAGUUUCAGAAGAUGAAGAACUUCGGAAGAGAAUUGCACAUUCUGCAGAAACCAGAGUCCCACGCAAGCAGCCAAUCAGUGUGAGAAGAGAGGAAGUGACAGAGCCAGAUGGAGCUGGAGACCCAGCUUUAUGGAAAAACACCAGUUCUAGUGCAGAGCAGGCCACACCCCAGGCAGUUACUCCCCACAAAGGAGGUGGUGACAUGGCUGUUGUAGAGCCAAAAGAAGGUUCCUGGGAGAAACCUAAUGAUGACAGCAUUCAAAAGUCUGGAGCCCAGGCCAUUCCAGAGAUGUCUAUGUUUGAAAUUCCUAGUCCUGACUUUAGUUUCCAUGCUGAUGAGUACCUAGAAGUCUAUGUCUCUGCUUCUGAACACCCUAACCACUUCUGGAUCCAGAUCAUUGGUUCCCGCAGCCUGCAAUUGGAUAAGCUUGUCAAUGAAAUGACCCAACACUAUGAAAAUAGUCUGCCUGAAGACUUGACUGUGCAUAUAGGAGAUAUCGUAGCAGCACCUUUACUUACAAAUGGUUCCUGGUAUCGAGCCCAGGUCCUGGGCACCUUGGAAAAUGGGAACUUUGACCUCUAUUUUGUUGACUUUGGAGAUAAUGGAGAUUGCCCACUGAAGGACCUUAGGGCUCUCAGGAGUGACUUCCUAAGCCUUCCAUUUCAAGCAAUAGAGUGUAGUCUGGCCCGGAUCGCCCCCUCAGGUGAACAGUGGGAAGAGGAAGCUUUGGAUGAAUUUGAAAGACUCACUCACUGUGCUGACUGGAAGCCCCUUGUGGCCAAGAUCUCUAGCUAUGUCCAGACUGGGAUCUCAACUUGGCCAAAGAUCUACUUAUAUGAUACUAGCAAUGGGAAGAAACUUGAUAUUGGGCUAGAAUUAGUUCGUAAAGGAUACGCAAUUGAGCUUCCUGAAGACGUGGAAGAAAACGGAGCUGUCCCAGACAUGUUGAAGGAUGUGGCCACAGAAACAGAUGCUUCUCUCAGCACCAUGCUCACUGAGACCAAAAAGAGCCCUGGAGAGAUACCACAUACCCUGUCCUGCCUCAGCUUAUCAGAAGCUGCCUCUAUGUCUGGUGAUGAUAACCUUGAAGACGACUACUUGCUCUGAAGUUGGGACUUCAGCUGGCUCAGCCAUCUGCUUUGCUGUGUGAGUGGAGCCAUCAUCUAUCUGUAGCAACAGGAUUUGGUGGCUGGAGAGAGAAGUCUGUGAUAAAGAGACAUCCAUGAAGUCCUUUAUUACGUUACACAGUCUGGCUUACUGUGGACCAAAUUCGUUUUCUCCUUCCAUUGGACUACCAAAAAGUGUGGGGCAGAGGAAAACGGACACAUUCCCCCUACUCCAACUCCAAUUUCUCCCCCCUGCCUCCAGCAUUUGAGUACUGCUGUUCCAGACUGUUCAGCUCCGGGCUUGGUCGCCUCUGCCAAUCAGAAUGCACAGUGCUGCUAGGCUGUGUUUUUUGAGGCUGGGAAACAGCCAGAGUUUAGUCAUUGGAAGUGAUGAUUCUGUAAACUUCUGACUCCCCUUCUCAGGUGACUAUGGUUAGAGGAAGUUUUUGAGUGGUAAGCUCAAAGCCUGGGGGCUCAGACUGCAGUUGAGUCAGGAGGCAAAGGCAAAAAUCAGCAUAAUUAUAUUAAAAAGCCUUGAAGUAAGAAGAGAAUACUACCUCCUACCCUCAAUUGUUGGUGUUAUUGGAGACAGGUUUUUGAAACUGCUCCAGCUAUUUCUCUGUAAACUUUAGUUUAAAAGGGGAGAGGAAGCUCAGGAAAUAUUCUAAAUUGCUUAACAUAAUAUUCAUAUGUAUAGAUACACAUGUACCCAAAGAGAACAUAUAUAGUUCUGUUUAAAUCAUUUUGGGGGGAUUCUUUGCUGAAUAAAGUUCUCAAGAAAAUCUAAAACCAAAUGCUUAUUGAAUCACAAGGUGUAAACAGGCUGUGGGAAAGUAUUUUCUGAGCAUAAAUCUAGUAACCUCCAACCUGCCAACCUCCUCAGGUAAAGUAGCCUAUCAGUGAAACAAGUGUUCACUCACGUACACAUUCAUAUCCUUUCCCUAAAGUUACUUCAGAUAUAACCAUUCACUAAGAACCAGCACCCAUUGCUGUGUGAAUAAGACCCCACCUAAACUAUUUGGAAGAAAAGGCCUGGUAUUAGAAUUCUAGAAACCUGAAAUCCAGGUAUAGAUCCCUACUGCCAACUUAUUUUAAGACUUUAGGUAGCCUGUUUCUUUAUAGCAUCUUUCCAUUUUUGACAGUAUU